UACGUGUGGUCCGAGCGUUGUCCGGAAUGACUGGGCGUAAAGGGUGCGUAGGCGGGCACAUAAGUCAGGUGUGAAAUCCCCGGGCUCAACCUGGGAAGUGCGCUUGAAACUAUGUGUCUCGAGGCUGUCAGGGGUAAGCGGAAUUCCCGGAGUAGCGGUGAAAUGCGUAGAUAUCGGGAAGAACACCGGUGGCGAAGGCGGCUUACUGGGACAGAACUGACGCUGAGGCACGAAGGCGUGGGGAGCAAACAGG
rnacentral:rRNA from 1 species